UGCAAGUCGAGCGGUAGCACAGGGGAGCUUGCUCCCUGGGUGACGAGCGGCGGACGGGUGAGUAAUGUCUGGGAAACUGCCUGAUGGAGGGGGAUAACUACUGGAAACGGUAGCUAAUACCGCAUAACGUCGCAAGACCAAAGAGGGGGACCUUCGGGCCUCUUGCCAUCAGAUGUGCCCAGAUGGGAUUAGCUAGUAGGUGGGGUAAUGGCUCACCUAGGCGACGAUCCCUAGCUGGUCUGAGAGGAUGACCAGCCACACUGGAACUGAGACACGGUCCAGACUCCUACGGGAGGCAGCAGUGGGGAAUAUUGCACAAUGGGCGCAAGCCUGAUGCAGCCAUGCCGCGUGUGUGAAGAAGGCCUUCGGGUUGUAAAGCACUUUCAGCGAGGAGGAAGGUGGUGAACUUAAUACGUUCAUCAAUUGACGUUACUCGCAGAAGAAGCACCGGCUAACUCCGUGCCAGCAGCCGCGGUAAUACGGAGGGUGCAAGCGUUAAUCGGAAUUACUGGGCGUAAAGCGCAC
rnacentral:rRNA from 1 species